rnacentral:rRNA from 1 species
AACGAACGCUGGCGGCAUGCCUAACACAUGCAAGUCGAACGAGACGUUCGGGCCUGGUGGCGCAGGGGUGAGUAACUCGGGGGAACCUGCCCUUACUGUCCGUGUAUCUCCCCGAAAUGGGGGCUAAGACCGGUUAAUGUCUUCAGGCCAACGAUUUACCGGCGCUGGAUGGGGCCGGGUUGGAUUGGCUAGUUGGUAGGGUAAAAGCCUACCAAGGCGACGAUGCAUAGCUGGUCUGAGAGGAUGAUCAGCCACACUGGGACUGAGACACGGCCCAGACUCCUACGGGAGGCAGGAGUAGGGAAUAUUGGACAAUGGGCGCAAGCCUGAUCCAGCAAUGCCGCGUGAGUGAUGAAGGCCUUAGGGUUGUAAAGCUCUUUUACCCGGGAUGAUAAUGACGGUACCGGGAGAAUAAGCACCGGCUAACUACGUG